rnacentral:rRNA from 1 species
CAGCAGUAGGGAAUCUUCACAAUGGGCGCAAGCCUGAUGGAGCAACACCGCGUGAGUGAAGAAGGGUUUCGGCUCGUAAAGCUCUGUUGUUAAGGAAGAACACGUAUGAGAGUAACUGUUCAUACGUUGACGGUAUUUAACCAGAAAGUCACGGCUAACUACGUGCCAGCAGCCGCGGUAAUACGUAGGUGGCAAGCGUUAUCCGGAUUUAUUGGGCGUAAAGAGAGUGCAGGCGGUUUUCUAAGUCUGAUGUGAAAGCCUUCGGCUUAACCGGAGAAGUGCAUCGGAAACUGGAUAACUUGAGUGCAGAAGAGGGUAGUGGAACUCCAUGUGUAGCGGUGGAAUGCGUAGAUAUAUGGAAGAACACCAGUGGCGAAGGCGGCUACCUGGUCUGCAACUGACGCUGAGACUCGAAAGCAUGGGUAGCGAACAGGAUUAGAUACCCUGGUAG